CAACAGGGAUUGCCCUAGUAACGGCGAGUGAAGCGGCAAGAGCUCAAAUUUGAAAUCUGGCUCCUUUGGAGUCCGAGUUGUAAUUUGUAGAGGGUGCUUUGGUGUCGGCUAUGGCCUAAGUUCCUUGGAACAGGACGUCACAGAGGGUGAGAACCCCGUAUGUGGCUGCUAGCCUUCACCAUGUAAAGCCCCUUCGACGAGUCGAGUUGUUUGGGAAUGCAGCUCUAAAUGGGAGGUAAAUUUCUUCUAAAGCUAAAUAUUGGCCAGAGACCGAUAGCGCACAAGUAGAGUGAUCGAAAGAUGAAAAGCACUUUGGAAAGAGAGUCAAAAAGCACGUGAAAUUGUUGAAAGGGAAGCGCUUGCAGCCAGACUUGCUCGUAGUUGCUCAUCCGAGCUUUUGCUCGGUGCACUCUUCUGCGAGCAGGCCAGCAUCAGUCCGGGCGGUUGGAUAAAGGCUCUGGGAAUGUAGCUCUCUUCGGGGAGUGUUAUAGCCCAGGGUGUCAUGCAACCAGUCUGGACUGAGGUCCGCGCAUCUGCUAGGAUGCUGGCGUAAUGGCUGUAAGCGGCCCGUCUUGAAACACGGACCAAGGAGUCUAACAUCUAUGCGAGUGUUUGGGUGUCAAGCCCGGGCGCGUAAUGAAAGUGAACGGAGGUGGGAACCCUUCGGGGCGCACCAUCGACCGAUCCUGAUGUCUUCGGAUGGAUUUGAGUAAGAGCAUAGCUGUUGGGACCCGAAAGAUGGUGAACUAUGCCUGAAUAGGGUGAAGCCAGAGGAAACUCUGGUGGAGGCUCGCAGCGGUUCUGACGUGCAAAUCGAUCGUCAAAUUUGGGCAUAGGGGCGAAAGACUAAUCGAACUAUCUAGUAGCUGGUUCUGCG
rnacentral:rRNA from 2 species